UACGAAGGGUGCAAGCGUUACUCGGAAUUACUGGGCGUAAAGGGUGCGUAGGUGGUUUGUUAAGUCUGCUGUGAAAUCCCCCGGGCUCAACCUGGGAAUGGCAGUGGAUACUGGCAAGCUAGAGUGCGGUAGAGGGUAGUGGAAUUCCCGGUGUAGCAGUGAAAUGCGUAGAGAUCGGGAGGAACACCAGUGGCGAAGGCGGCUUGCUGGGCCUUACCUGACGCUGAGGAGCGAAAGCGUGGGGAGCGAACAGG
rnacentral:rRNA from 1 species